AAAAAAAAAAAGUUACAAUCUUAUUUCCAUUUAAUUUCAACAUUGCACCUGAAUUUUAAUAUAAAACUUAUUUCAAGUUUCAAUUUGCUUCUAGUGUUUAACAAACUCAUGUAAUGCUUUAGCCAGUAAAGAGAAAUAUUACUCUUGUAUACAAACUCAUUUAAUGUAUUAGGCUAUUAGCCAAUAAGGUACUCCUAGUCUCUCUAUAUGAACACUUAGACAAACAUCAUACAUGUGUCCACUGUUCCCAAUUGAAGUAUCCAACGGCAUUUUGAUAAAAUCCGGUAGUUGCCAGUUUUCCACAAUUUGACAUGCUCAUUUAUCAAAAAAAUUCCAAGCAAUAUGAUGCAUCUAUAAAGCCCAUGUGCAUUUUACAAUUUGAUGUACUCCAUUAAAAAAAUGUGCUCAAAAAGGACAAAGCUUUCAUCAAGUUUUCCAACAUAAUCAACAUCAUCCAGAAAAGAGAUGCAUAUGCUCAAACCAAAAUUCAAAAAUCCAGAUUAC
rnacentral:misc_RNA from 1 species